rnacentral:lncRNA from 1 species
CUAACAACACACAACAUUCCAGGAAUGUACUACCAAAGUUCUAUCAAUAUUUGAAUGUCCUGGACAUUUAGGGAACAUUCGGUGAACAUCUGUUUAAAUUAUUCCUGGAAUGUUACCAUAAGACAUUCUGUGAACAUACUACCAAUGUUCCUAUAUUUUAAGUUGCGAAAUAAUACGUGUAACAGAUACAACAUUGCUUAUAACAUACCAGACAAACUAAGUGACACUUUAGGCCUACAGUGCAAUAAUAUGUCAAAUUUAAAGAGUUUUCCAAGUUCAAUUAAUACAAUAUUAUAAACAUACAAAUGUAAUAAAAAUUAUUGUUCGCGAAUAUUCAAUUUGGAAUGCGAUUUUGUUAAUAAAAAAAAUACUUAUAACUUAUGCAAAACCCAAGAGAGGCAUUUAUAUUUAUUUCUUUUGCGUUCAUUUUCAAAUUCGCCGUGCAUAUAUUUUUGUGCAUGGCGCUUGAGAGGGCAUCACGUGACUAAAAACGACCAACCAACGACCUCGCUUCGGCCAUCUUGGCAUCUUCAUCUUGCCACCUUUGUUUGUAUUAUUUGUGCUUUUUAAGAAUAUUUUUUUAAUUCGGAUACUUUUAUAAUAGCUUUAAUAGUAUUAUUAACAUAGUGAAUAAAAUGGUGUCCUGUUUUUAACGCAGUUGGAGUAGCAGAAACAAAUGUAGAUAAAAAAAUCUGCAGGAAUAACGUUUCAAUUAUGACAGAAGCUCCAAACAAAUGACUGAAUGAAAAUGAAAAGCCCUAUUAAAAGCUUUCCAGAAGAUCCUGCUAAGAAGACAUGAAGUAUAGAUCAGAUUUGUUAAUAGAGGAGUAUGUUCAAAACACUUUUUAGAAAAAGAUAUUGACAGAAUUUCACUUUCAUCUGUUCGUUUAAGAGACUGUGCUGUUCCAAUAGCUUAUGUCACACAGAAUCAGCUGAGAGAAGUGGUCUACAAAAAACCAGAAAGGAAACGGAAUAUGUGGCUACGAAAAGCAAAAGAAAGGUUUACAAAGCAAAUGUGACACAUUUUUUUAUAAUAUUUAGGAAUGUCAGUAAAUUACAUUAAAAAAUGUAUGUAAAGAUUUUUUG